rnacentral:rRNA from 1 species
AGCUAACGCGUUAAGCAUUCCGCCUGGGAAGUACGGCCGCAAGGCUAAAACUCAAAGGAAUAGACGGGGAUCCGCACAAGCGGUGGAGCGUCUGGUUUAAUUCGACAGUAAGCGUGGUACCUCACCAGGGUUUGACAUCCCUUGACAGCCUUGGAAACAAGGUUUCCUUCGGGCAAGGUGACAGGUGCUGCAUGGUCGUCGUCAGUUCGUGCCGUGAGGUGUUCCGUUAAGUCGGGAAACGAACGAAACCCCUAUUGCAUGUUACAAUUUCUCAUGCAAGACUGCCCGGAUAUACUGGGAGGAAGGUGGGGAUGACGUCAGAUCUGCAUGGUCCUUAUACCCUGGGCGACACAGGCGCUACAAUGGCAGAGACAAAGGGUUGCAAAACCGCAAGGUGAAGCUAAUCCCAAAAACUUUGUCUAAGUUCGGAUUGAAGGCUGCAAUUCGCCUUCAUGAAGCUGGAAUCGCUAGUAAUCGUGAAUCAGCCACGUCACGGUGAAUAUGUUCCCGGAUCUUGUACUCACCGCCCGUCACACCAAGAGAGUUGUAGCUCCCGAAG